rnacentral:rRNA from 1 species
GACGAACGCUGGCGGCGUGCCUAAUACAUGCAAGUCGAACGCAGUGGGGACGGGUGAGUAACACGUGGGUAACCUCCCAUCAGAGGGGAUAACACUUGGAAACAGGUGCUAAACCGAUAUUGAUGGCUGGACCCGGGUGGCAUGAGCUAGGUGGUGAGGUAACGCCUCACCAAGGCCACGAUGCAUAGCCGACCUGACAGGGUGACGGGCCACACUGGGAUUGAGACACGGCCCAGACUCCUACGGGAGGCAGCAGUAGGGAAUCUUCGGCAAUGGGCGAAAGGCUGACCGAGCAACGCCGCGUGAGUGAAGAAGGUUUUCGGAUCGUAAAACACUGUUGUUGGGGAAGCGGUACCUAAUCAGAAAGCCACGGCUAACUACGUGCCAGCCGCCGCGGUAAUUC